CGUAGGUGGCAAGCGUUGUCCGGAUUUAUUGGGUUUAAAGGGUGCGUAGGCGGUCUUGUAAGUCAGUGGUGAAAUACGGCAGCUUAACUGUCGAGGUGCCAUUGAUACUGCAGGACUUGAGUACAGACGAGGUAGGCGGAAUUGACGGUGUAGCGGUGAAAUGCUUAGAUAUCGUCAAGAACACCGAUAGCGAAGGCAGCUUACUAGACUGUAACUGACGCUGAUGCACGAAAGUGUGGGGAUCAAACAGGGUUAGAUACCCUGGUAGUCCACACUGUAAACGAUGAUUACUCGAUGUUGGCGAUACACAGCCAGCGUCAUAGCGAAAGCGAUAAGUAAUCCACCUGGGGAGUACGCCGGCAACGGUG
rnacentral:rRNA from 1 species